rnacentral:lncRNA from 1 species
UGGUGCCGUGAGCCUUGGAUGGCACGGCUCGGGUCGUGGUAAAGACACCAUGGACCUCGCCACCGUGGUGGAAACUCGUGGUGGUGGUGCUGCUCCACUUAUUGUCACAUUUAGCCUCACAGAUCUCCGCAAUCCCAUUUCUUGAACAUUAGAAUUUUCACUUGUGGAAUUUUCUAAAUUUCUAGCCAUUAUAUUUUGCUUAUACGUUUUAUCAAAUAACCUUUGCAAGUAAAACAUUCUAAUAAUAAGAACGUAUGAAAAAUAUUCAAAUGGACUAGAAAAUAAAGAAAAAAACCUUUUUGUGCGAGAGUCUUCUACGAGUAUGGAUUUCAACUCUCAAUGAAAGCACCAAUUUGUGGAUGCAAAUUUCUUCCUCCUUGAUCUUGGACAAUUUUGCACCAACAAAACAAUUAACACCUUAGGUUAAGGCCAAGAGCCUCACGCGCCCACGAUGAAUGGGGGGGCUUUGGCCGAAGAAACUCCAAUGCCAAAGUUAGAAUUUAGAGAGAAAGAGUGUUUAGAGAAUUUUGGGAUUUUUGCCAAAGUGUUGGAAUCUAGCUUUUUGGUGAGAAUGAGAGCCUAUUUAUAGGGAUAGGGUUCUUGAUUUAGGUUGAAUUUAGGAGUUAUGGGAAUAAUUGACUAAUUAAUUUAGCAAAUAAAAUUAUUGUCAAAUUAACUAGCUAAUUAAUGUGAUAAAAUAGGUGAAUAUGAUAAGAUCAACAAGGGUGGCCGGCCAUUUGGGAUUUUUGGGUAGUGGGUUAUGUAAUGAGGGAUUAAUUGGCAUAAUGGGUCAUUUAAUUGGUGAUUUAAUGGAUUAAUUAGGAAAUAAAUCCAUUAAUUCACCAAUUAAUCUAAUUUAAAUGGAAUGUUUGGAAUGGUUACCUUGUGGAGUAUAUGGAUGAAAUAACUUUUAUUUGUUACCUUCUUUAGGCAUUUUUGACUUGGUUAAUGGAUGAUUGCCCGCUGCUCGUGCGUAGGAAUCCCGGUAUGCCUCAAGGGUACUUUUGUCCUCUUAUAUCCAAAAAUCCACGUGUCGCCUUGUGAAUAUUUUUGGCUCCACGUAGUGUGUGUUAAAGUUUCACCUACAUCUGACUUUUUUAUUUUUUUGAAUAAACGAUAUUAAUUACACUAAGGGGGAGGGGGAGGGCUUAGCCUCACAAUAGGCUAGCAAUAAUGUGGUUCAAAUUCACUUUUGACGAGAAUCGAACCUAAGACUUCUCACUUGCAAGUGAAGAGGAAUGUCAUCAGGCUGUAGUACUAAGUGACCUAAAUUUGACUCUUAGUCAAAUGAUUAUGCACCAAAGCAAUCCUUUCACCCACUGCGCCUGAGGUUAACCUCUCCAUUUUAUAUAGAUUUGUAUAGAAUAUGGUUUGUCCAUAUUUUGUAAGGGUAAUACAACACCUUAAGAAAAAUACGUUACAUAUACAGAUCUAAUUAUUUCAAGGCCAAAGUCAAAGCCAUCGAUGGAUAUGGCACCGCCAAACCUAUCACUACAUCAGCGAUGUCCCCAAAUCUAAAAGUGAGCCCAGUCAAGCCUCCAUUUAAGAUCUACCAAAUGGGGCAUGAAAACCCUAAUCAAAGAUAAGCAUUUGUCUCCAACAUCUCAACUGUCCUCUUCUUUUUAAAGGUCUAGAUUCCACCACAUUCGCUUUUUCGUAGCUAAAAAAUUUGCUAUACCACACUUGUUAGCCCCAUUUGGUAGCGAGUAGGGGACAAGGGGGCAUGCCCUGUUA